rnacentral:rRNA from 1 species
AUUGAACGCUGGCGGCAGGCCUAACACAUGCAAGUCGAGCGGAGCGGCGGACGGGGGAGUGAUGCCUGGGAAGUUGCCUGUUAGUGGGGGAUAACUUCCGGAAAGGUGCGCUAAUGCCGCAGACGUUCAGGUGAGCCUAGGUCGGAUGAGCUAGUUGGUGGGGUAAAGGCUUACCAAGGCGACGAUCCGUAACUGGUCUGAGAGGAUGAUCAGUCACACUGGAACUGAGACACGGUCCAGACUCCUACGGGAGGCAGCAGUGGGGAAUAUUGGACAAUGGGCGAAAGCCUGAUCCAGCCAUGCCGCGUGUGUGAAGAAGGUCUUCGGAUUGUAAAGCACUUUAAGUUGGGAGGCGUUACCAAAAGAAUAAGCACCGGCUAACUUCGUGCCAGCAGCCGCGGUAAUUC